ACAUGCGGAGUAGAGCUGCCGGAUAACGAAAGUGGCCGUGAGCCGCCAUUUGCCCGCAUGCGCACUUGGGUACGGGUGAGCACCGCGCUUGCCCAUCAAUUGGCAAGGCAAGUUCGCAUGCUCAUCACUGACAGGCGGAUCAGCUGAACGCCGAAUUUAUCGAUACUAGGUUAGCGCGCUUCCGCAGCGCCCGCACCCGCAUCAGUUGUCGGCCCUGCGGCCUGGCUGCUGCGUCUUGCGGAUCAGGCGCCUCCGCUCCCGCCUGAGCUGCGCGGCCGCAAAACCGCCUUGAACAGGAGACCGUGGCCGAGGCGGGAGGAUGGUCCCGGCGCCCCUGGGUGUCUCGCUCCGGCCGUUCCCAGCCCCGUGCUCGACCGCUGCUCCCGCCCCCACCCACGGUUUGGCGGGCGGGCGGAAGACGGGCUCGGGGGUGGGGCUCUCGCGGCGCCCGGAGGCACUGGCGUUUCCGGAGCUGGUCCCGUCGUUCGCUUGCGGGUCUCCGUCCAACCGCCCUCCCCCACGCGUUGGUUUUGUGGAAAACUUGGCUGCAAAUUAGACAGUUGCUCGUUUCCGCUUCUCUGAGCCCCUUGUGCGUCAGACCCGUGUGUCCAACCGAUUCUCAGACUUCGUAUUUCAUCAAGGGAAAUUGUCCUCAGUAGCCACUGGAAGGCUUCACAUGUCGCAUGUUAUCAAACCUCUCUUGGAAUCUGUGCACAGGCCGUGAUAUACGUUUGAUCCAAAACUACCUGUGAAAGGUUUUCACGCUCUCAAACCCCCCCUCUUUGGCACGGACCGCAGCAUCACCCUGCAGCAUAAAUCUAAACCCACUGGGAAUGGACAAGACGACUCCCUUUCUGUUACAAAAAACCCUUUUCCCAACACUCGGCUGAAGUUCUCUUCUUUAGUUUCAUCCCGUUGCUUUUCGGCCUGUCAUGAUGCUCCCGAGCAAGUUAUGACCUCAGAACGACUUAGGGCAGGGCCUGUCAACCGGUACUUGGGAAGCCUGCAGGGGGCACGUGGCAGUGGAGUGGAGAAGCUGGGGGCACUUGCAGCAGCACUUCUGAUUUUGCCACCGCAGCGCUUUGUUUUGCUGUGGUGGACCCCCGCUCCUCCUCCAUCUGCCACUGAGGAACCCCUCCACCCACCGGCUGGGGGACUCCCUGCGUCUGGGCUGGCCGUGGGGGGGUACCCCAACCAAAAAAGGUUGAAAGCCCCUGCCUUAGGGUCUAUUGCAGUAGUUAGCAUCCCCAGAACACAGGACAGCCCUUUGACCACAGGCAGCCCCCACUGCCAAUCAGCAGUGAGGAGUGCCAACCACCUUAGCCAACCAGCAGCUAGGGGUGGGCGCACUGUGACUGGGUAGGACCCUGCUCCUGCCGGCUGUGCACUGCCCUACCCCCUGGGCACAGCCCACAGAAUUGUGAGGGCAAAUCAUUAACAUAUAAAUUGCCACCAACUAACUGAAAAAUGGAACUUUUCCCAUCCAUUCCUCAUUCAGAAACCAAGAGGAGGCAAAGUGUUUAAAGCAGGAUAGUCCAGUAUAAAACAGGACCAAUGGCCACCCUAAAUACACCGCCCUAAACACCCCACUCCCAACUAGCUCUGGAACUGGAAGUGCUAGCACAGGGCAUCUGCACUUGCAUUUCCAUACUUACCUGGCAGCGGAAAUACCAUGACCACUAGGACGGUUUUCCUAGUCGCUCAGGAUAACUGCUUUUCUGGCACAGGGUAGUACCUGCGGAGGUGACAUGUAGUUAACCUCCGAUGGUCAUUUCCCCUGGGAAGAUCUUGGCUUUAUGCCCACUUUACUGAGAUGGGAGACUCCUCUCUGUCAUGACCCAAAGGGUAUGAUUGUGUGUGUGCUUCAGCACUGCAGAAUUAUUUCCCGCCACGAGUAGCUUUCUUUGCACAGUGCAAUUCUCAGUUGCAAAGAGAAAACCCCGGUGCAAAGGAGUUCCCGCCAUUCGCAUGUAAAUUUGUUCCCCACUAUUGGCUGUUCCUAAAUUAUUCCCACGUGGCGGCUAGCGAUUGGCUUGCUAGCCGUAUAAGAGGCUUGAGCAGUUUCCGCCCAAGCCGGAGAUCUCCGGGGAGGACCUCAUUUAGGAGGAUUCCACAUCCAUCUCGUGGAGAACUCUAAGCGUGCUGUGGAGCUUAACAAACCCAGCGUGCCUUAGAGAAGGAUAUAGGGGCCUGACCAACCUCUAGCCUCUCCCCGUCGCCGCCUGAUCCCUCGACAUACCCUUCCCUGCAUGCUCGGUCCACGGAGCCUAGCAAACUUCGUGUGUGUGUGUGUGUGUGUGUGUGUGUGUGUGUAUCCAGAGCUCUUUCCGGGUUAUUUCAAUGGCUCGAGUUUUCUACGGGUCUUGUUCGUGCAAAUUUUCUUUUCGUUUGUAACUGCAACUUAAGCAAGUUUUCCUGCCUGCACCGUGACCAUCUAUGGUGUAAGUAAAAUAAUCUUUAAUCAAC